UCCCUGGUGGCUCAGUGGUAAAGAAUUUGCCUGCCAAGUAGGGGAUACGGGUUCGAUCCCUGGUCUGGGAA
rnacentral:tRNA from 1 species